rnacentral:rRNA from 1 species
GACGAACGCUGGCGGCGUGCAUCACACAUGCAAGUGGAGCGACGAACCGGGCUUCGGCCCGGGGCAGAGCCGCGAACGGGUGAGUAACACGUGGGUAACCUGCCCCGAUGAUUGGGACAACCCGAGGAAACUCGGGCUAAUACCAAAUGUGCCCUACGGCCGUAAGGCUGCUGGGGAAAGGAAGCUUCGGCCUCCGCAUCGGGAUGGGCCCGCGGCCCAUUAGCUUGUUGGUGAGGUAACGGCUCACCAAGGCGACGAUGGGUAGCUGGUCUGAGAG